AGCCCAUGUGGGACCUUCGAAGACCUUCGGCCCAAGGCCUUCAAGGGAGAUUUGAAAAGCCAGCGGAGAUUUGAAAACAGUACUCGGUCCCUAUAGUAGCAAGACGCUCAACACACUGUUAAUUCCCCUGUAACUAGUUUCGUACCAGCCCUCCCUAGUAGACACCAGCCUUGAUGGGACAGUGGCACCAUACCCAGUGGAGCUUCAGUGACGUUCCGAGGGUCCCGCAUGCGAAUGAGAAUGUCAUCCAGCAGCUGCGCUUUGGUCUUCCGUGGGGGUGGUAUUGGUAUCCUCGCAGCCUGGCACAAGGGUUUCUGGAAAGUGACCAGCCUGGGCUUGGAGGAACGGCAGACAAGCGGCUGCUUCAGCAUGCGGUGCAGGGCCUGCGCAUUCUUCUGGAUGCCUAGCAGAGAAGGCAGAAACAGGUGUCGUCCCCGUUUC